GGGGCUUGCAACAAUGGAGGAGGUGCGCCCUCAAUGGCCACCUGCCUCUUUGUCUGCACCUCCAAGGCAAGUCGACUGUCAGAGACCUGAGCCUGCAUUCCCGUGUUAUUCUACCUGGCUUCGCUGUUUCUGGAGCCUGUGCGCAGCUGCCUGCCCAUGGGCUGGGACAGGAGAGGAACAGCCGCUGUCACACCAAGAGCUAGCAUUGCCCAAAACAAACUGCCACGCAUUGGUCCUCCCCUCCCCCGAGCUUCCAAGCCCUCGAUGGACUGGAAAGUUGGGAAAUAAUUGUAAGAGACAAGAUUCUGCCCGUGCAAAUUGUCUAGGUGGAGAGGGAUCUUGCGGUGCUUCCCACUCAGAUAUUUUUCCAGAAUCUUCUCCGGCAGGAUGAGAGACUUACACCGUCUUGUUUAAGCCUGUCUCUGAGCUUUUCAUUGUCAUAAUGUUGUCUUUGCAGAGCCAAAGUUUUCAAAUGUGGUGUCUGCUCAUCUUUUUUUUUUUUCUGUUAAACUCUGUAAUUUGGAGUCAAAUCUAAGGAUUACUUUUCUAUGCCAAGAUCAUUUUCUUCUAAAAGUUUCAUAGUUUUAUUUUUAUCUUAAGUCUGGGCUCCGUAUUUGUUUAAUUUUUAUGCAAGGCAUAGACUGAUGCUGACUUUAAGCCCCCCCCCUUCCUCCUCCAGUUGUUUGUGGAUGUACAGUUGUUCCAGCAUCAUUUGUUCAAAGACAAUGUUUCUUCACUGACUUGCUCUCUCAUCUUUCUUAAACACUAAGUCUGUGAGUGCUGCCUUUCCUCUCCCCCCACCUCAUGUGUGUGCGUGCGCGUGUGUGUGUGUGUGUGUGUGUGUGUGUGUGUCUGUUUGUAUAUGUGUACAUAUGUGUGUGUAUAUGUGUGUAUAUGCAUGUGUGUGUGCACGUGCAUGUGUUUGCAUGUGUGCGGGUGCUUGCGUGUGUGUGUGUGUGUGUGUGUGUGUGUGUGUGUGUUCCUUUGUUGAUGCCUACAAUACUAACCUUGUGGGAUUUUGAUGGGGACGGAAGGAACCUGGAACUACACUCAGAGAGGAAUCAUCCCGUGCAGGUCUUCCAAACUCUUACAUGGCACAUUUUUCUUUUUAGUUUUGUGUCAUUUAUCCCAUAAACAUUUUGUAAUUUUCUGCUUAAAUCUCCUAUACUUAUUUUGUUAUACUUAAACCUAACUAUUUAACAUUUAAAAGAGUUAUGAUAAGUGGUCCUUGUUGUUUGGGGUUUUUGUCUUGUUUUGUUUAUGUUUGUUAUGAUGUGUGUGUGAAUGGUGUGUGUAUACACCAUGGCACUUCUGUGGAGGUCAGAAGACAGAGUCCGAGAAUCCGUUUUCUCCUCUCAACAUUUGGAUUCCAGGUGGAGGGGCUUGGCAUCUCUGCGGCCUUUGUGUUUUUUCUCUAAGGCAGAGAAAACCCAUGAGAGGAGGAGGGAACCCUGGGAAGGUUCCAGUCUGCAGGAGGAGGAGGAGGAAUGAAGCCCAGCCUGGCAGCUGUCCUGAGUUCAGAGCAAGAACCUGGGUGCCUGGAGCCAGGGCAGAGGACCAUAAAGAAGACAGAUGGAGGGACUUGAGAGACACAGAGGCUAAUGGGGCAAGGGGCAAAGGACUCCGUGCUGCAUCUCUGUCUGGAAGCUGUGAGGAGGGUGGAGGCAGGCCGACCAGACUCCUGCGCUCUUCCAAGUCUGAAAUCAGUAGAAGUGAAGAGAUGGCGAUGGGGCGCACAAUCCUCGGGGCCAUGCAGAAGACAUGCCCGGGGAGCGGUCUUAAGCAAGGAUCCCUUUGGGGAGACACUUAUGAAGGCACCAAAUGAAAGAAGACAGCUAUUUCAUCACUGUCAGCUGGGAGGCUGUGGCACAGGGCAGCUGCUGACAAGUUCACAUGGAGAUGGUUUUCAACAUUUAUUUUCUUGUUUAUGUGAUUGUGAGUGUGUGUGCACAUGUGUAUGUGUCUGAAGAGGCUGAAGGAGGACACUGGAUGCCCCGGGGCUGGUGUCACAGGCAUUUGUGAGCACCUGACAGGAGUGUUUGGCACUGAACAAUGCAAGAGCAGCCAGAGGUUGUAACCCCUGACCCAUCUUCCUAGUCCUCUUACAUCUGCAAUUCUCAUCCUGUGCAUCAUGACCACUUUGGGAGUCCACCAACCCGUUCACAGGGGUCACCUAAGAUCAUCAGAAAACACAGAUAUUUAUAUUAUGUAACCCUAGCUGUCCUGGAACUCACUCUGCUAGAACUCAGAGAUAUGCCUCUCUGCCUCCUGAGUGCUGGGAUUAAAGGCAUACACUACUUGCUUGGCGGGAGUUGUUGUUUUAAUGAAAAGAACUAAUUAUAUGUGUGUGCAUGGGUGCAUAUUUAGCACAGUGCAUGUGUGGAGGUCCAAGCACAACCUGUAGGGACUCUGAUCUCUCCUUCCACCAUCUGGACUGCCGUGAUCAAACUCAGGUGGUUAACAAUGGUGGCAAGCUUUACCCCUUGAGCCAUCUUGCU